UGCUGACUCGCGGCGUGGCCUUGACCUACAGUUCUCCCCUCGUAAGUUCCCGAAGCGGCAGAGGUCAAGGACAGAGGAGAUCCACAGCCCGACCUCCCCGACCAUCCCCGAGUCACCGCUGGAGAUAGACGCGCCCCCAGCGGUGGCAGAGUCUCCACGCGCUCGUCCUGCCAGACCCAGGUGUUAGAUCUACACACCGUCUGGAUCAAUAACAACAUCUACACAGCCGUCUGGAUCAAUAACAACAUCUACACAGCCGUCUGGAUCAAUAACAACAUCUACACAGCCGUCACGGGAGCUAGCGACCUUGCUCUCCGCCUCACUUCCUGUCUACACAAGUGGCGAGAAAUACGGCCCACUUUCGGCUCCUUCUAUUUGCCUUGAGCAAUGGUGCGAGAUGGCGCUGCAAGAUGGCGAUACUUAGCGGUACUGCCACUCAAAGAAUUAUGCCUGACAAUAAAUUAUCUGACACAUGCUGAAUUAUCUGAUAUGUGUUGAACUGUCUGAUACGUGUUGAACUGUCUGAGACGUGUUGAACUAUCUGAGACGUGUUGGAUUAUCUGAGACGUGUUGAGAAAUGUGACGAAUGGACUGCUCUCCAGAUCCUUGUAGUUUUUCAUCAUUUCCCUAAUUUUUCGUUCCCUUGUUCUUGUUGUGAAAUGUGCCGCUGUGCAAACUGUAGACUAGCUAGAAACUAUAGUAGUAAGCUGACAACUUCACAAUAAUUCAUUUUGUGAUAGCUGAUUUGAUUCAUAAGCUUCAUGAUGCUCAAAAUAUUUAUCCUAUGAUAAUUUGACAGUGUAAUCUUAAAGCUAAAUUAUAUAAGUGGUGAGGAUAUUACAGUCUCAUCCACAUUGAGCCAGUGUUUUUACAAUACAAAUGUUUGUUUGUCAAUUAUUUAGGAAUGUCAGAUGAGGAUGACAAAUGAGUGUUAAUUAACUACUGUUUGUUUGGGAUGAAACUUUCUUCAUUUUGUUGUCAUAUUGUUAUGAAUUGAUUGAGGAACGGUGAGACGCGUUUGAUAUAGAUCCAAGUUUCUCCUCUAUCCUGGCGGCUUAUUUCAGGAAACCUGUUUGUGUCGGCGUGCGGCGGUGGAGUCAGGCCCUCGGCAACUUUUGGACAUAUAGAGAGUCAUUGUUGGAGCCUUAAAGCUGGUUCAUUUGUCUUGAUUGUGGUAAAAAAAGAAGGAAAAUCCAUCUAUCUUGAAUAGAUGGAGAAACAUGUGCAAUUAAAGGAAGGGGGGGGGGGGGUCGCCUGUUUCAUAAGUUAAAUUAGCGAGAAGAUGGCUUCCAUAGUUUGGUGACUGACGAAGCUUGAGAGUCCUUGGAAACUGCCAAUUUACAUCUUUUGUGUCUUUGAUCCAAGUUUGAAAAGUAAGAUCCUCACAGAAAUGUGUUUGUUAAAUGGAUGUUAAAGUUGCCAGCCAAAUUUUAAAAUUAUUUUUAUCAGAUCAAAAUUGCCCAACAGGUGAGAAAUGUCCAUUUU